UCCUACUGUCCCUAUCUACUAUCUAGCGAAACCACAGCCAAGGGAACGGGCUUGGAAUAAUUAGCGGGGAAAGAAGACCCUUUUGAGCUUGACUCUAAUCUGGCAGUGUAAGGAGACAUAAGAGGUGUAGAAUAAGUGGGAGAUAUUAGACUUCGGUUUGGUAUCGACAAUGAAAUACCACUACUCUUAUUGUUUCCUUACUUACUUGAUUAAAUGGAACGUGUAUCAUUUCCUAGCCAUUAUACGGAUAUAAUUAUUAUGUCUUAUGGUAUUGGGUUUUGAUGCAAGCUUCUUGAUCAAAGUAUCACGAGUUUGUUAUAUAAUCGCAAACAAAUUCUUUAAUGAGAGAAUGCAUUUAUGUAUUAUUGAUUUAAAAAUUUGGUAUAACUCCAAUUACUCAGGUAUGAUCCAAUUCAAGGACAUUGCCAGGUAGGGAGUUUGACUGGGGCGGUACAUCUCUCAAAUAAUAACGGAGGUGUCCCAAGGCCAGCUCAGUGCGGACAGAAACCACACAUAGAGCAAAAGGGCAAAUGCUGACUUGAUCUCGGUGUUCAGUACACACAGGGACAGCAAAAGCUCGGCCUAUCGAUCCUUUUGGUUUAAAGAGUUUUUAACAAGAGGUGUCAGAAAAGUUACCAUAGGGAUAACUGGCUUGUGGCGGCCAAGCGUUCAUAGCGACGUCGCUUUUUGAUCCUUCGAUGUCGGAUCUUCCUAUCAUUGUGAAGCAAAAUUCACCAAGCAUUGGAUUGUUCACCCAUGCAAGGGAACGUGAGCUUGGGUUUAGACCGUCGAGAAGACAGGUUAGUUUUACCCUACUAAUGACAAAACGUUGUUGCGACAGCAUUCCUGCGUAGUACGCGUGUAAAUGGAAGGUACGGACCAAUGGCACAAUACUUGUUCGAGCGAACAGUGGUAUGACGCUACGUCCGUUGGAUUAUGCCUGAACGCCUCUAAGGUCGUAUCCGUGCUGGACUGCAAUGAUAAAUAAGGGGCAAUUUGCAUUGUAUGGCUUCUAAACCAUUAAAAGUUUUUAAUUUGUUUUAUUAACGACAAUGGAUGUGAUGCCAAUGUUAUUUAUAACAUAGUAAAUUGGGAGGAUCUUCGAUCACCUGAUGCCGCGCUAGUUAUAUUUUAAAACAUUAUUUAAUACAAUGUCAAAGCCUAGAAUCAAUUGUAAACGACUUUUGUAACAGGCAAGGUGUUGUAAGUGGUUGAGCAGCUGCCAUACUGCGAUCCACUGAAGCUUAUCCUUUGCUUGAUGAUUCGA
rnacentral:ncRNA from 1 species